UACAGAGGGGGCAAGCGUUAUUCGGAAUUAUUGGGCGUAAAGGGCGCGUAGGCGGCCAGGCAAGUGGAAGGUGAAAUCCCUCGGCUUAACCGAGGAACUGCCCUCCAAACUGCUUGGCUUGAGACCGGGAGAGGUGAGUGGAAUUCCCAGUGUAGCGGUGAAAUGCGUAGAUAUUGGGAGGAACACCAGUGGCGAAGGCGGCUCACUGGACCGGUACUGACGCUGAGGUGCGAAAGCGUGGGGAGCAAACAGGG
rnacentral:rRNA from 1 species